GUGGGGAAUUUUGGACAAUGGGCGCAAGCCUGAUCCAGCAAUGCCGCGUGCAGGAAGAAGGCCUUCGGGUUGUAAACUGCUUUUGUACGGAACGAAACGGUCCGGGUUAAUACCCUGGGCUAAUGACGGUACCGUAAGAAUAAGCACCGGCUAACUACGUGCCAGCAGCCGCGGUAAUACGUAGGGUGCAAGCGUUAAUCGGAAUUACUGGGCGUAAAGCGUGCGCAGGCGGUUUUGUAAGACAGGCGUGAAAUCCCCGGGCUCAACCUGGGAAUUGCGCUUGUGACGGCAAGGCUGGAGUGCGGCAGAGGGGGAUGGAAUUCCGCGUGUAGCAGUGAAAUGCGUAGAUAUGCGGAGGAACACCGAUGGCGAAGGCAAUCCCCUGGGCCUGCACUGACGCUCAUGCACGAAAGCGUGGGGAGCAAACAGGAUUAGAAACCCGGGUAGUCC
rnacentral:rRNA from 1 species